rnacentral:tRNA from 2 species
GGGCCAUUAGCUCAGCUGGUAGAGCGCUUCCAUGGCAUGGAAGAGGUCAGCGGUUCAAGUCCGCUAUGGUCCA